AGGGUUAAGAAAGUUAAAUUUUAAUUUGAUGAGCUUCUUCAGCUUCACGCUACACUUAAAAAGAUGGCUUCAAUCUCUUCCCGCUGGUGGCAACUCUACGAAUCUCGCCGGAACUUCAUUUCUUCUAUAAUUCCUUCAGAGAAAGUUCUACGCUAUCCCUAAUCAAGGGACGAAACUUAAAUCUGGCGUCCGAUAUCUGGAAGCGACUUUUCGCGCCAAGAAGCAGAAGAUCUGCUCCAAUUCUUCCUAUCAUUCGUCUUGCUCGGCAAUUCAAUCUAACAAUGGAAUUUAUCAACCCUUUCAAGCUCUGUUCCGGCCUCAAGUUCCUUGGCUAUUUCAUGAUUCUCUUGGUUCUUGCCAUCGUUGCAGUUUCCUACGAUGCGGUUGUUGUCCUCACCUGGGGACCCAAAUUACUCAUGGGCGGCUUCCGCUCCUUCCUCGCCUUCUCCAUCAUCAUUUUGUUUCAUGUUCUGCUUUUACUCUUGUCAUGGAGCUAUUUUAUGGUAGUCCUUGAAGAUCCUGGUUCUGUACCGGCAAAUUGGGUAUUGGCAAGUGAAGCAGAGAAUAUGGAGGCUGGUAAUUCGUCAUUGCCAGAACAUGGACCAACGGGGGAUGCCAGUUAUUCCUCUUUAGAUGGUGCCGGGAGAAGGUCUACAGCCUAUUGUCGUCAAUGCCAAAAUGGAAAACCACCACGUUGUCAUCAUUGCUCUGUUUGUCAAAGAUGUGUUCUUAAGAUGGAUCAUCAUUGUAUUUGGGUGGUGAAUUGUGUUGGAGCACGCAACUACAAAUUCUUUCUUCUUUUCUUGCUUUACACAUUCUUGGAGACGACAAUGGAUACACUUGUUUUGCUGCCUAGUUUUAUCAAUUUUUUUGAUGAAGCUAAGAGUCACUCCGGUUCUCCUGCCAAUCUUGUUAUCCUUUUUUUAGCUUUUGUUCUUAAUUUAGCCUUUGCUCUCAGUCUCCUUUGUUUCGUAGUUAUGCAUGCAUCUCUUCUGAUGAGCAACACAACUUCAAUUGAGGUUCACGAGAAGAGAAGAGCAGUUCAAUGGAAGUAUGACCUAGGCAAGAAGAAAAAUUUUGAGCAGGUGGGCGAUCGUGAUCCAAGGAUGAAACUAAAGAAGAAAUUCUGUCCAUGGAAUUGCAGAAACUGGAGAUGGAAACAGAGAUCAAAACGAAGAUGGGAGCAAUCAUCAAAACAAGACUAAAAGGCAUGGGAGAGGAACUCAUGACAGCUCCUUUAUUGGACAAAAUAAAAUUACAAGUGAUGGAGAAACAUUUAGUCUUAUAACCUAAGAAACUUGAGAAGGAAAUAAAAGGAAGAAUUGGUGCGAUGGCAGAGUAAAAUUAUAUAUAAAUGAUCAUCGAAUUUGAACAGAUUGUUGGAUGACAUGGUCGGAGGAUGGCGCUGCAGAAGUAGUAGUUUGAUUCAUGGAAUUGCAGAAAGCAGAGAUAAGAAGAGACAUCAUAACAAAUAUGGGUGCAAUCAUCAAAACAAGACUGAAAGGUACCAUCCAUAGUUGUCUAUUUGUUGGAUGAAACUGAAACACCCACCAACCAAAAACAAGCCCUCCCAUCAGGCAUGCCACUACCAUUGAAAUCACCCAAGUGGCUAUCUUACAACUCUUCAUAUUCCCAUUCCUCUUCUUAUCUCUAUCUUCUUCUUUCAUUGCUGACUCCAUUUGAAAUCCUGCUUCUUCAUCUCCACCCCUCGCAAAUCUCCAUGUUUGAUCCAUUACUACAAAGUCACCCACUAAGCUCUUCAGAAGAACUAGAAAUGGCGGAACCAAAAAGAAAGAAUAGAAAAAACAGAGAAAGAGGGAAGAGAGAGAUGGCUGUAUAGGGGCAAAAGGAUUUGAUUUGGCAAGUGAUUGUAGACAAGUUACAAAGCGUAGGAUUUUAUCAAAGUUUGAAAUUAGCAUCAGCAAUUGACGUAGCUAUCUGGGGUUAGAUUUUUAUUGCCUUUUAUGAUAAAAUAUGUGACAUAGACUCGGAAGCACCAAUAGCUCAAGCCCUUCUAAUUGUUUCAAAUAAACAUCUCUCUCCUUGAAAUUAGAGUUCAUCUUGUACUCAAAUUAUGGAAAAUUAGGAUCUACACUGUGAAGUUAUAAUUAUAGGUGAACUGCUUCCAUUUGAAGCAUUGGUAUCUGGAAGCAGCGGUUUUCUAGUUUGAGAUGCAAAUCCAAUUGAAUAUGUGAGGUUUGGGGAGUUGAGGGCUGGUUCAGGUUUUAUAUUUAAUGGAAUAAACCUUUCUUGGCUCCAAA